rnacentral:lncRNA from 1 species
GGGUAGUAGUUGUAGGCUUAGGGGUUGGGAUUAAAGAGGGAAUGGAGACCGACAAGGUAAAGGUGGACAUGGUUAGGUUAAGGUUUUCUUUCUAGGCGGCAUUGACCUCAGAGUGNGAGAAUAGGAGUCCUAGGGUUCCUCUGUGACAAAUGUAGGGUUCGUUGACGGAGAACACGGGUACCACAACAAGGAGGCCACAACUUGAAGACGACGAUUGGAGGCAGGGACUCCUAGGGUUUGAGCCACGAAGAUGAUCGUUCGNUGAANGAAGAUGAUGGUUACAGAUGAUGGAGGGAAAAAAGCANGAGAAGAAUGGCUCAAUGAGAACACGACUCCAUGNCAGCGAACGCCAGAGAAGAAACUGGAGAACAAUGGUCGAGAGGGAGCAACAAGAGGGAAGAAGGGCUCGAGGACAACUUUCCAACUUUGUUUUUGCUUCUAUUAGGGUUUAAUUUUUUUAAUCUUUUUUAUUAAUUAUUUUACAAUCGGGU